UACGGAGGAUGCAAGCGUUAUCCGGAAUCAUUGGGCGUAAAGGGUGCGUAGGCGGCGCGGUAAGUCGGGUGUGAAAUCUCGGAGCUUAACUCCGAAACUGCAUUCGAUACUGCCGUGCUUGAGGACUGGAGAGGAGACUGGAAUUUACGGUGUAGCGGUGAAAUGCGUAGAUAUCGUAAGGAAGACCAGUGGCGAAGGCGGGUCUCUGGACAGUUCCUGACGCUGAGGCACGAAGGUCAGGGGAGCAAACGGG
rnacentral:rRNA from 1 species